rnacentral:tRNA from 2 species
GGAGGGGUACUCAAGUUGGUGAAGAGGACAGUUUGCUAAACUGUUAGUACCUAUUUAAAGGUAGCGAGAGUUCGAGCCUCUCUCCCUCCA